rnacentral:rRNA from 1 species
AUGCCACAGUCGUCGCCGCCGCCGCCCCUACCCCAUCCUAUCCCCCAGCCCUCCAUCUCCAUCCAAGUCCUCUGUUCCGUGCCAGGGGCCUCCCGCGGUCUGAUGCAUCAACAUGGGAUGAGUUGUGGCGAUGGUGACGGCGGCCGGCAUGCUGUCGGGCUACCUGGUGGGGGCGGCAGUGCUUCACCGCAAAGGCGGGGCGCGCGGCCUGUGCUUGCGACAGCCGCUGAUAGUAGAACAGCAGACCUACAAUGGGUAACCAUCUGCAAGAUCAGCAUGAUCGUUCACAUAAUGGUGGAUAUCGCGAGAUUCAAUAUCAAGUUGCAUACUUGCAUAUACUGUAGUGAACCACAAACAUGA